ACUAGCAUUAGCAAUGAAGCUAAAUAAAGUUAGCACAUGGUUAAAGUUUGCCUUUGUAUGCUCAGUUGUCGCUCUCAGCAAGUUAGGUUUAACCAUCAACUAUAAUAUUUACUCAGAAUGCCAGGAUCCACAAUGAAAACUUGCAUAUCUUGCAAGCAACACGUCUGUCUUUGUGGGGCACAGCAGCCCAUGAAAAAAAAAAUCAUCAAGGCAAAGAACAAGGCUACGAAGGAAUGGGGAGAGGAGCUGAAGAAAGGGGGCAAUAUUGCCAAACUUUUUGAUGCUGCACGGAUUCUGACCCUGCACCUGCACCCUCUCCCUCCUCCUCACUUGGACUUCCACGACCCUCUGCUUCAUCCCAGCCCCCCAUGACCAAGCCUCUACCCCUAAGCUGUGCUCGACACGAAAGCAAACAGACCCUGUGCCUGCACCCAGUAUUGUGUCCCAGACCCCUCCUGAACCAACUCCCCUGCCCUCUGCUUCGCCCCAUCCCCCUAAGCUGUGCUCUGCACUCAAGCAAAUAGGCUGUGUCCUAGGCAUCUUCUUUAUUUGCCCCUCACCUCCCCAGGUCGUAGUAACAGACCCAAUCCAGUCAACCUAGCAGGGAAUGCUGGAGGUCAAAGUGAAGUGGGUGCCAUGCCCUCAGUGCCACCUGAGAUGGGCCGAUUGGUGGGUGAAACAAGAUGACCUCACUUAGAUGUCAAAGACUUUCCUUUAAUGUGUUCUUCAUUUUGUAAUGUUCUGGUUUGUUCUUGCCAUUAAAGUUGUGCUGCUGCAGGCUCAUC